CUCAUCUGUAACCCUGGUUAAAUAACUACUACUGAAAUAAGAUAGUUACUCACCUUGAAUGGUUAAAUAAUAUUUUGUAAAUGCUACUUGCUUUCCAGCUGCAUUAAGUACUGCCAUUAAGGAUUCACCAUUGUCUCAGGUGAGCAGUCCCGACCGUCCCGGCUCCAGAGUGACGUCACUAGCGCUACUGGGUCCGGAGGGGAGACGCUGGUCGUUCAGCGGGAGUCCGUCUAGACUCCAGCUGUAGUGGAGUCCGUCCCCCCCGGCAGAGCAGGACACCCUCUGCUGUCCCCAGGACAGACACUCCCGGGACAGGAGGGGAGAGGAGACCGGGGCUAAGGGAAACCGGCUGAGGAGUCUGAAGGAAUCAUCUUGUGAGGACUGAGUAGGCAUCAGGACCUCCACGGUUUCUCCCAGAGAGCCAAAGCACUGGGUCGUGACGCGUGGCUGUGUGGCGUCGCAGACGGUCUUCACACCUGGAGGUUUACAGAGGAGAAUAAAACCAUACAGGAGAUAUAUCUCAAUGAGAUUCACAGCCCACCACUCACUAUUACUGUAAUAACUGUCUUAUUACUGUAAGAGGGAUGGACAUUUUGAAUACAAUGGGUGU
ensembl:lncRNA